AUCAACUUUCGAUGGUAGGAUAGAGGCCUACCAUGGUGGUAACGGGUAACGGGGUGUUAGGGCACGACACCGGAGAGGGAGCCUGAGAAACGGCUACCACAUCCAAGGAUGGCAGCAGGCGCGCAAAUUACCCAAUCCCGACACGGGGAGGUAGUGACAAUAAAUAACAAUACGGGGUUCUUUUGGAUUUCGUAAUUAGAAUGAGUACAAUUUAAAUCUCUUAACGAGGAACAAUUGGAGGGCAAGUCUGGUGCCAGCAGCCGCGGUAAUUCCAGCUCCAAUAGCGUAUAUUAAAGUUGUUGCAGUUAAAAAGCUCGUAGUUGAAUUUCGGGGUUAGUAGGCUGGUCAUGCCACAGGUAUGCACUGGUCUUACUGAUUCCUCCUUCCUGAUGAACCGUAAUGCCAUUAAUUUGGUGUUGCGGGGAGUCUGGACUGUUACUUUGAAAAAAUUAGAGUGUUUAAAGCAGGCUAACGCUUGAAUACAUUAGCAUGGAAUAACGAAAUAGGACGUUCGAUCUUAUUUUGUUGGUUUCUAGGAUUGACGUAAUGAUUAAUAGGGAUAGUUGGGGGCAUUAGUAUUCAAUUGUCAGAGGUGAAAUUCUUGGAUUUAUUGAAGACUAACUACUGCGAAAGCAUUUGCCAAGGAUGUUUUCAUUAAUCAAGAACGAAAGUUAGGGGAUCGAAGACGAUCAGAUACCGUCGUAGUCUUAACCAUAAACUAUGCCGACUAGGGAUCGGAUGAUGUUAAUUUUAUAAUGACUCAUUCGGCGCCUUACGGGAAACCAAAGUGUUUGGGUUC
rnacentral:rRNA from 1 species